AACGCUAGCUACAGGCUUAACACAUGCAAGUCGAGGGGAAACGAUAUUGGAAGCUUGCUUCCGACAGGCGUCGACCGGCGCACGGGUGAGUAACGCGUAUCCAACCUGCCCACCACUUGGGGAUAACCUUGCGAAAGUAAGACUAAUACCCAAUGAUAUCUCUAGAAGACAUCUGAAAGAGAUUAAAGAUUCAUCGGUGAUGGAUGGGGAUGCGUCUGAUUAGCUUGUUGGCGGGGUAACGGCCCACCAAGGCAACGAUCAGUAGGGGUUCUGAGAGGAAGGUCCCCCACAUUGGAACUGAGACACGGUCCAAACUCCUACGGGAGGCAGCAGUGAGGAAUAUUGGUCAAUGGACGAGAGUCUGAACCAGCCAAGUAGCGUGCAGGAUGACGGCCCUAUGGGUUGUAAACUGCUUUUAUAAGGGAAUAAAGUGGGUCUCGUGAGACUUUUUGCAUGUACCUUAUGAAUAAGGACCGGCUAAUUCCGUGCCAGCAGCCGCGGUAAUACGGAAGGUCCGGGCGUUAUCCGGAUUUAUUGGGUUUAAAGGGAGCGUAGGCCGGAGAUUAAGCGUGUUGUGAAAUGUAGAUGCUCAACAUCUGCACUGCAGCGCGAACUGGUUUCCUUGAGUACGCACAAAGUGGGCGGAAUUCGUGGUGUAGCGGUGAAAUGCUUAGAUAUCACGAAGAACUCCGAUUG
rnacentral:rRNA from 1 species